rnacentral:rRNA from 1 species
CCAAUAGCGUAUAUUAAAGUUGCCGCAGUUAAAAAGCUCGUAGUUGAAUUUCGGGACCAAUAUGUCGGUCGUGCCUCGGUACGUACUAGCAUCGUUGGUUUCUCCCUCCCUUCUGACGAACCAUGAUGUCAUUUAUUUGGUGUCAUGGGGAAUCAGGACUGUUACUUUGAAAAAAUUAGAGUGUUUAAAGCAGGCUCACGCUUGAAUACAUUAGCAUGGAAUAAUGAAAUAGGACGUUUGAUUCUAUUUUGUUGGUUUCUAGGAUCGACGUAAUGAUUAAUAGGGAUAGUUGGGGGCAUUAGUAUUCAAUUGUCAGAGGUGAAAUUCUUGGAUUUAUUGAAGACUAACUACUGCGAAAGCAUUUGCCAAGGAUGUUUUCAUUAAUCAAGAACGAAAGUUAGGGGAUCGAAGACGAUCAGAUACCGUCGUAGUCUUAACCAUAAACUAUGCCGACUAGGGAUCGGAUGAUGUUAAUUUUUUAAUGACUCAUUCGGCGCCUUACG